rnacentral:lncRNA from 14 species
CCAUAGUAGAUUCUAAGUUAAAUCAUUAUUAGGGCCUGGAUUUGGAAGCAGUAGCCUCAGCUGGGGUUUGUCAAAAAGGAAUAUACUACUCCUUACCCUCAGGAAAUGAGGCAUACAAUCACUUUUAGAACAAAAUACGGUUAAUUCAAAUUCUUGUUCCUUAUCUGGCAUUCACAUGGUUACAGCACCCCUUGAAAUUAGGGGCUGAGAUCCAGUGACCUCAAACCCCUUAGUGCUGUAUUUGUCUCAGCCAGGGGCUACCGACAAGCUGUACCUAUAAAUCUCUCUUGCGUGUCUGUAGCAGGAGCUGCUGUCCAUUUUCAUGUUGAUAGGUAAUGAGGGUUAAGUACUGAACAGCUUCAUGCUGACAUUUGCUGAUUCAUCAGAAAUAGAUAAGGUGGGGAAAGAAGCUUCACUCCUUAUUACCUCAGUGAUUUCCUAAUAGUCCCACCCAGUCCAUCUGAGGACACCUGGUUAACUGAAGAGGCAUUGCCAUUUUGGGAGGAAAGAGGGCUGUCAAAAGUCUGUGGAAAGAGGUGUUGAAACUGCCUCUUAAAUGAAGUUAGAGAUCAACAGCUUUUGCGGAGGGGGUAAGAAGAUUUGAAUUUGAAAAAAAACCUGUAGGAGGCACCAAAAGAACAUGGUGUAAAUAAAGGUUACCAAGAAGGCCCCAUGACUUUGAUCUUUUUGAAAUAAAAAUGAAUGUAAUUUGCUUUCACUUGCCUGUCAUUCAUGGCUUUAUAAACCUUUGCAAUUUUGUUAUCUUUUCCUGAUUUUUUUUUUCAAAUAAGUAUCCUUACUGAAAUUAAGAUCAGAGCUAAUUUCCGGAUUAAUUACCUAAUGGAAGCAUUUCAUGUAGAAAUCAUCACUGUGUAUCUGGAGCACCCAUACAGAAGCCAACACCUCUGCAAAUUUCUCUGCAAUAUCCAAGGUCUCCUCUUUAUAUGCCUCUGCUUCCCAGAUAUCUACAGCUUUUUGUUAUUGCCUAAAUUUUGGAGAUGAGAAAGGAGAACAGAGAAGGAAUGUCACUUGUCCCUGAUGAUACAGCCAUUGUCA